CCCCCCCCCCCCCCCCUCUUGCUCCAGCGGAAGGAUUGUACCCCAUGGCCGUGGAGGUCCGGACUUCGUUUUGACCUUAUCUCUUCAUCAACACAGGAUGGUCUUCCUCCUGUGACCCUGAGGAUGAUUGCUGCCACUGAGACGUUUUUGAUCCCUGCGCUGAUGCUGGGCUUUUGAUGACUGCCCCACUUUGAUACCACGACAAGAUUGAAUCCAGCCCACCCCCUGUGAAACACACAGAGCUUGUUGCAGAGAGUACCAGUACGUGCUGCACAGACCGGGAGUGGAGCCAGCGGGCAAAUGAUACAAUCAUAUCCUCAUUCAGCCGCCUUGUGGGUGGCAAAACCUGUUGGCUCUUCCUCGCAAAUAUUUCGGUGCAGGUUUGAUAAAUAUCAAAUACUUUUGAGGAGAGCACACAAACAGAGCUCUUCAGACAGAUGGUGUAACUGACUUUGUGCUCUAAGAGAAGACAGAAGACAGAACAGCUCUAUUCAAAUAUCAAAUACAUCUGGACACACGUGGAGGCGCCGUGCGUGAAAGUGUUCCCCGCGAGCGCGGACGGGACUGAUUGACCCUCCAGCUGACUCCUGCGGCCGCCAUAAAGCAGAACAUCGCAUGGAACGGUGACAGCGAAAACAGCGUUGAAAAUUGUACAAGUGCAAAAUUACACGUGUGAGUGACUGUGGCUACCAUUUUCAACUUGCCUCGAAAACCCACUUGGCAAGCAGGAGUUUCCCACAGUUCCCUUCACAGCCCAUCAGUCAGGCCCGGAGAGGAGCGGGGGGCUUGACUGUCAGGGGUCAGCGCCACGCUGAACACGGAGAGAAUAUGAAGCAGCUGCCCGGGACGGGAGGGCCUGACGUGUGUGUGUGUGUGUGUGUGUGUGUGUGUCACCAGUCUCCAUUCCUUUACAUAAAUGAUUAUGGGUUGUGGUCAAACAUUAUCAUGGAUUAAUCUAUUAAAGAUUCUGGUUUGUAUGUUUUAGAAACGAAUGAAUGGGGAGGCAGACUUGGGCUCGGUUUCAGAGAAGGGAGGCACAUUUUAUAUCAAAUGAGUGAGAAUGUGUUAGGAAUCUCAUUUGAAGGUUUUCCAUUCUUGGU